rnacentral:tRNA from 2 species
AGCCCUGUAGUGUAGCCAGGCCAAUCACUCUUGACUUUGGAUCAAGAAACCCCGGUUCAAAUCCGGGCAGGGCAA